CAGCCGCCGCGGGAAUACAGAGGAUGCAAGCGUUAUCCGGAAUGAUUGGGCGUAAAGCGCACGUAGGCGGAUAUUUAAGUCAGGGGUGAAAUCCCAGAGCUCAACUCUGGAACUGCCUUUGAUACUGGGUAUCUUGAGUAUGGAAGAGGUGAGUGGAAUUCCGAGUGUAGAGGUGAAAUUCGUAGAUAUUCGGAGGAACACCAGUGGCGAAAGCGGCUCACUGGUCCAUUACUGACGCUGAGGUGCGAAAGCGUGGGGAGCAAACAGGAUUAGAUACCCCUGUAGUCCCUGUCUCUUAUAC
rnacentral:rRNA from 1 species